GUUUUAAAAAAUUAAAAAUUAAAUAUCAUUUUUAUUUAAUAAAUUAAAUUCUUUUAUAAUAAAAUACAAGUUGUAGAAUUUUAUGAAAAUAUUUUUUGUAAACUUAAAUUUUAUAAAUAUACAUGAAAUGUUUUAAAAUUAAACUAUUUUUUAGUUUUAUAUAAAUAUAAAUUUUAUAAACUUUAAACAUAUUGUUUAAUUUUUAAUAUUUUUUAGUUUAAAAUCUGUGUUUAGAAUCCAUAUUAAUACU
rnacentral:tRNA from 1 species